AUGUCCGCCAAGGCUAGAACCCUCACCAAGCUGCUAUCCUCCGCCACCACGUACUCCGAUCCCACGGCCAAAAACCUCACUCGUUCCGCCAUCACCUCCGCCGGUCAAGAGGUAAACCUAAAAAACUAUAUCCGAUUUACAGAGGCUCCAGAUUCUUCUUCUUCUUCUUCUUCUUCCUCAUCACAUCUUAAACCCUCACAAUCGGAUAAAUCUUUAUCAUCCAAACCUCUAAGUGAGAUAGCUGUUGAGAGCAUUAGGAUUGACAACGCUGCUUCUAUUUCCGAUGCAAAAAGCGAGCUUUGCGGACGAAUCAAUUCUAUAUUGUGCGGAGAUGUAGAUGACUCACCAGCUUCAGACGAACAUAUUUUGGAUGUACCAUGGCUGCCAACUAUAUCUCAGAGCAGUGCAUCAUUGCGUCGCAAAGAAAAUACAAGGUUUAGGAAGCAAAAAUGGGUCUACAACUGUUCACAGGGAAAUCAUUUUGGGAGGCUGCUUAGGUUGUGUACACAUAAACUAGGGACAAAGGCUACUAUAAACGUAUUUGGUAGAUUGGGCCGUGAAACAGGUGUUAAAGAAUUUAAUGCUAUGAUAGAAGUUUGCAUAGAGAAGGCUAGGAAUACAAAUGACGAGGAUGUUACUUUGGAAGAGUUCCAUAGGGCAUAUAUGGUAUUUGAAACUAUGAAGGAACGCGGUUUCCAAAUUGGGGAAGAAACUUAUGGCCCACUUCUUAUGUUUAUCAUCGACAUGGGCAUGGUUGAAGAAUUUCACUUCUUCUGUGAUAACAUUAAGAAGGAAAAUCCGAAGUCUCUUUCAAAACUAGCUUAUUAUGAGAUGCUUCUAUAUAUAAAAGUAGGCAACGAAGAUAAUAUACAUAUGCUUCUGGCAGAUACACAUGGCAGUGAUGCAUCCAACUUCAAUGAGAGUUAUUUGGCAGCCUUGUGUGAAGGAGAUAGGCAAGAGGAGGUGUUGAUGCUGUUAGAAACAAUAGACAUAAAGAAAGUUUCGUUGAAGGAGAGUAGGGAAAGGAUUUUUAAAUCAUUGGGAAGGCUUACAUUGGAGUCCCAUGCAAAAAAAUUCAUUAUGGAACUCAAAACCGUUGAUAAUGAAGGGAAGGAACUGUCAAACUUGAUUUACAGUUACGCAAAGAGCAUACCAAACAUACCGAUUGAAGAAUUUCUUGUGAAGUUCAAAAAUUUGCAAGAUGAAUUGAAGGUUGCAUCUUCAUCUAUAUCUUACGAGAAGCUUAUUAAAGCCUCUUGCGAGUCACUCGAGGUACAUUUGGCUGUUGACUUAAUUGAUUCGAUGUUUGAAGAUGGGCUAACUGUGCGGAUAAACAUGUUCAAUACCUUACUAACGUCAUGUUAUGCAAGCUGCGAUUAUAAUUUGGUUUAUCGGAUAAAGUCCAUGAUAGAUGAUCAUGAUAUAAAAGCGAAUGCCGAGACCUACAGAAGUAUGAUAAGUUUGUGUGUAAAAAUGAAGGAUUUUGAUGGAGCAUAUGGCAUGAUUAAAGAUCUAGGGAGGUUGAAUAUGUGUCCUACUGUUAACAUGUACAAUGUGAUAAUGGGUGGAUACUUUCGACAGAAAAACUUUAAUAAAGCACUGAUGGUUCUUAAACAAAUGGAGGCUUCAGGUCUCAAUCCAGAUUCUCAUACUUUCAGUUAUAUUAUAGGCAAUUGCAGUAGUGAAGAUGAUAUCAUAAAGUAUCGUAAAGAGCUGGAUGAAUCAGGAGUUACAGCUACAAAGCACAUUUAUAUGGCACUUAUAAAUGCAUAUGCCGCUUGUGGGUUGUUUGAGAAAGCAAAACAGGUUCUUUCAGACAAAAAAAUUCCUAAAGACAGUCUGAAUGAAAUCAAAAGCGUGCUUGUUUCUGCACUUGCUAGCCAAGGCCAAAUGACCAAUGCCCUUGAAAUAUAUGAUGAAAUCAAACAAGAUGCAGCAGAUCUGGAGCCAAAAUCCAUUAUAUGCCUUAUUGAACAUCUUCAAUCUGAAGGUGAGCUAAGCCGAUUACUUCAGCUUCUAAAGCAAUUGAAGGAUUUUGACUUUUGGGAUGAUGGAUGUGCCAGGAUCAUCUUGUAUUGCGUUCGGCACAAGCUUUUAGGGUAUAAUGCUCGGCCGUUGAUUUACUUAAGCAACGUAUGGAGAAGUGCACCAAUGAAACGGCUACAGAAGGUCUUUUUGAUGAGGUGUUUUGCGCAAUUGUGGAAACAGAGCCGAUUGAUGUGCAGUUCGGCUUGGAUCUGCUUCAAGCCAUUAAGGAAGAUAUUGGGAUUCGACCAUCAAGGAGAAGUCUUGAUUUUCUUCUGAGUGCUUGUGUUAAUGCCAGAGAUCUAGAUCGUUCUUUCAUAGUUUGGAAAGAAUAUCAGACUGCUGGUCUUCCAUACAACGUGUUAACUUUUGUAAGGAUGUAUCAGGCACUUCUGGCUUCAGGAGCCCAUAAAGCUGCAAAGGUUUUGCUAAAAAACAUACAUGAUGAUGAUUGUCAUGUGUUGCGUGUCCUUAACGCAUGUCGAUUGACUUUUGGCAAAUCAGCCUCGACAAAGCCAAGGAGGGAAAGAAGAAGAUGAAGAAAAAGAAAGUGAAGUAGAGGUGAGGUCUCGAUUAUUGGCAACACACACUAAUUAACAUGGUGAAACACUAGAUUUUCAGAUGCAACACAAGGUUUAUACCGUACGGCUUUGAGGACCCUAUCGUUUGCAUUUUGAUUCUUCAAGUGAUGAUCACGAAAUUGAGGUACAUAUCAUUCAUCCCAUGAAAAUUAUUAUUAGCGAGACUAACUUUUAUGUUGUUUAAGAAAACUAUCGAGUUUAAAGUUACGUUUAUUAGUGUAUCGUAUGUUAAAGUUCAAUGAAUUGGGAUGUAAAAGUAUAGCAUAGCCCCCUUUCGUACAUCCCGACUAACAAGAGCUGGUAUCGGAACAAAAACGACAUAUAGCUCGAGUCAUGACCAACUAUAAAGACCAUUUAAUUUACUCUAGGUUUUUAUAAUGGCAAAAUGCAUCAAAAGUACCGAGUUUGUCUUUGUUCUUAUUUAGUGCGACUAUUUUUUUUUCUUAAUUAGUGUAAGAGACGUCGAGUUCUUAUUUCAUACAUAUUUUACCUGGUAAAUCGAUUAAAUUUUGAUGUGAUGUUUUUCUACGUGAUUAAGAAUUAUAAUU